rnacentral:rRNA from 1 species
CAACGUGGGUAAUCUGCCCUGGAGUGGGGGAAUAACACCGGGAAAACCCGGUGCUAAUACCGCAUACGAUAGCAAGGUCUGCGGACUUUGCUAUGAAAGGAGCAAUUCGCUCUAGGAGGAGCCCGCGGCUGAUUAGCUAGUUGGUGAGGUAAUGGCUCACCAAGGCUUCGAUCAGUAUCCGGUCUGAGAGGACGGUCGGACACACUGGAACUGAGACACGGUCCAG